rnacentral:rRNA from 1 species
CACGUAGGGGGCGAGCGUUGUCCGGAUUCAUUGGGCGUAAAGCGCGCGCAGGCGGCUCGGAAAGUCGGGUGUGAAAACUCGGGGCUCAACCCCGGGCGUGCAUCCGAUACUGCCGGGCUUGAGGUAGGUAGGGGAGAUCGGAAUUCCUGGUGUAGCGGUGAAAUGCGCAGAUAUCAGGAGGAACACCGGUGGCGAAGGCGGAUCUCUGGGCCUGUCCUGACGCUGAGGCGCGAAAGCUAGGGGAGCGAACAGG